ensembl:rRNA 5S_rRNA 5S ribosomal RNA
GUCUCCGCCCAUAUCAGCCUGAAGGCGCCAGAUCUCCUGUGAUCGCAGAAGCUAAGCAGGGUCGAGCCUGGUUAGUACUUGGAUGGGAGACCACCUGGGAAUACCGGGUGCUGGAGGCU